CAAGUCAAAUUUUUUAGCACUGCAUUGGAUAUGCAUUUUGAAGAUAUCACUGUGAAGAAUGUUAGUUGCCCCGUCAUGACUGACCAAAAAUAUUGCCCAUGGAAUAAAUGCAAAAUGAAUCCAGAAUCAAAUGUUAAACUAAGCAACAUCAGCUUCAAGAACAUUUCUGGUACGCUUCCAAAAGAAGAAGAAUAAAAAUUGUUUG